AGAGUUUGAUCCUGGCUCAGGAUAAACGCUGGCGGCGCACAUAAGACAUGCAAGUCGAACGGAAGUCGUUACGAAAUGGAAUGAAGAUUUAUCUGAUUGAAGUUUUGUAACAAUGGCUUUAGUGGCGGACUGGUGAGUAACACGUAAGCAAUCUACCUAUUAGAGGGGAAUAACAAUGAGAAAUCAUUGCUAAUACCGCAUAAGCUUGUAGUACCGCAUGGUACAGCAAGAAAAGGAGCAAUCCGCUAAUAGAUGAGCUUGCGGCUGAUUAGCUAGUUGGUGUGGUAACGGCAUACCAAGGCAACGAUCAGUAGCCGGGCUGAGAGGCUCUUCGGCCACAUUGGGACUGAGAUACGGCCCAGACUCCUACGGGAGGCAGCAGUCGGGAAUAUUGCGCAAUGGAGGAAACUCUGACGCAGUGACGCCGCGUAUAGGAAGAAGGUUUUCGGAUUGUAAACUAUUUUAGUCAGGGAAGAAAAAUGACAGUACCUGAAGAAUAAGCUCCGGCUAACUACGUGCCAGCAGCCGCGGUAAUACGUAGGGAGCAAGCGUUAUCCGGAUUUAUUGGGUGUAAAGGGUGCGUAGACGGGAAGACAAGUUGGUUGUGAAAGCCCUCGGCUCAACUGAGGAACUGCAACCAAAACUAUCAUUCUUGAGUGCGGGAGAGGAAAGUGGAAUUCCUAGUGUAGCGGUGAAAUGCGUAGAUAUUAGGAGGAACACCAGUGGCGAAGGCGACUUUCUGGACCGUAACUGACGUUGAGGCACGAAAGUGUGGGGAGCAAACAGGAUUAGAUACCCUGGUAGUCCACACCGUAAACGAUGAUUACUAGGUGUGGGGGGACUGACCCCUUCCGUGCCGGAGUUAACACAAUAAGUAAUCCACCUGGGGAGUACGGCCGCAAGGUUGAAACUCAA
rnacentral:rRNA from 1 species